UGACGUCGCCAUUGCUGAAUUGGAUCAAGAGAAUACUGGCUACUGGAAGAAGUCACUACGCAACAGAUUCAGGAAUUGCAGGAAGUGUCAUGAACGUGAUAAUCAAUUAGGACAAAUGGAAGCAAAAAAAAGGGGACUACACCCAAACCAGACAAAGCUGCAGGCAAACACAUGUAUGGCAUAAAGAAAGUACCUUCCUGCAUUCCCAGAAGGUGAGGAUGAAGAAAUGAUCAAUGUUCACAUCAAGAUGCUUCAGAAUGAAUCCAGAAAAACAAGACAGGACAGCUUGAUGAUAGACAAUCUAGUGUCACUAACUUUAGCCCAUAGGCGCAAGGGUAUCAUCAACAGCAACUGGACUGAAUCCUACUUGAAGGAUAUGUACCCUUACCUUUUCCAUGAAGAUGAGAGUUUGAGAGACUGUCAGAGGACCCAAUUAAGCAGAAGUUGGAAGCAGGACAUUUGAAUAUGCUGAUCCAUUACUAGAGAUAUGUAAGACCCCAAGCAAGGUUUGGAGCUCAAAAACCUGAUCUUGGCUGCAGCAGCAGAAAAUGAAGACACCAGGAAAAUGAUCAAAUCAUGUGGAGCACCUCUGUUGAUUCCUACUAUUUU